rnacentral:rRNA from 1 species
CCUACGGGUGGCAGCAGUAGGGAAUUUUCGUCAAUGGCGGGAACCCUGGCCGAGCAACGCCGCGUGAACGAAGACGUCAUUCGUAGUUGUAAGUUCUUUUAAUAGGGAAGAAAUAGAUACUUGAUGUUACCUGAAGAAUAAGCCUCGUCUAACUACGUGCCAGCAGCCGCUGUAAUACGUCGGGAUCGAGCGUUAUCGGGAAUUAUUGGGCGUAAUGGGUGCGUAGAUGGCUUAGUAAGUCUUUUGUAAAAAUGCUGGGCUUAACCAUGAAGGGCAAAUGAUACUGCAAAUCUAGAGUAUAGAAGAGGUAGGCGGAAUUAGGUGUGUAGCGGUGAAAUGCGUAGAUAUAAGUUAGAACACCGGUAGCGAAGGCGGCUUACUGGGUUGAUACUGACGCUGAGGCACGAGAGCGUGGGGAGCAAACAGGAUUAGAUACCCCAGUAGUC